GACGUAGGAUGCGAGCGUUGUCCGGAUUUAUUGGGCGUAAAGAGUUCGUAGGUGGUUUGUUAAGUCUGGUGUUAAAGAUCAGGGCUCAACCCUGGGAGUGCAUUGGAUACUGGCAGACUGGAGUGCAGUAGAGGCGAGUGGAAUUCCUAGUGUAGCGGUGAAAUGCGUAGAUAUUAGGAAGAACACCAGUGGCGUAAGCGACUCGCUGGACUGUAACUGACACUGAGGAACGAAAGCCAGGGUAGCGAAUGGG
rnacentral:rRNA from 1 species